rnacentral:rRNA from 1 species
CAAACUGGGAUUAGAUACCCCACUAUGCCUAGCCCUAAACCCAAAUAGUUACAUAACAAAACUAUUCGCCAGAGUACUACUCGCAACUGCCUAAAACUCAAAGGACUUGGCGGUGCUUCACAUCCACCUAGAGGAGCCUGUUCUAUAAUCGAUAAACCCCGAUAAACCUUACCAACCCUUGCCAAUUCAGCUAUAUCCGCCAUAUUCAGCAAACCUAAAAAGGAACAAUAGUAAGCACAAUCAUAACACAUAAAAACGUUAGGUCAAGGUGUAGCUUAUGGGUUGGAAAGAAAUGGGUACAUUUUUACAUAAGAAUACCCACCAUACGAAAGUUUUUAUGAAACUAAAAACCAAAGGAGGAUUUAGCAGUAAAUCAAGAAUAGAGUGCUUGAUUGAAUGGGGCCAUGAAGCACGCACACACCGCCCGUCACCCUC